rnacentral:misc_RNA from 1 species
UCCGGUUUGUCACCGGCAGUCUCAUUAGAGUGCCCAACUGAAUGUAGCAACUAAUGACAAGGGUUGCGCUCGUUGCGGGACUUAACCCAACAUCUCACGACACGAGCUGACGACAGCCAUGCAGCACCUGUGUUCCCUUUCCCUUUCGGGCACAGCCGGGUUUCCCCAGCCUCCAGGACAUGUCAAGGGUAGGUAAGGUGGGGAUGACGUAUGAGAGUACGUCC